UACGAGGGGGGCGAGCGUUGUCCGGAUUUACUGGGCGUAAAGAGCGCGCAGGCGGCUGGUCAAGUCCGAUGUGAAAGCUCCCGGCUUAACUGGGAAAUUGCAUCGGAAACUGAUCGGCUGGAAGGUGGGAGAGGGUAGCGGAAUUCCCGGUGUAGUGGUGAAAUGCGUAGAUAUCGGGAGGAACACCAGUGGCGAAAGCGGCUACCUGGCCCAUUCUUGACGCUGAGGCGCGAAAGCUAGGGGAGCAAACGGG
rnacentral:rRNA from 1 species